AUUGAACGCUGGCGGUAUGCUUAACACAUGCAAGUCGAACGGCAGCACGGGGCAACCUGGUGGCGAGUGGCGAACGGGUGAGUAAUACAUCGGAACGUGCCCAAUCGUGGGGGGAUAACGUAGCGAAAGUUACGCUAAUACCGCAUACGAUCUACGGAUGAAAGCGGGGGAUCGCAAGACCUCGCGCGAAUGGAGCGGCCGAUGUCAGAUUAGGUAGUUGGUGGGGUAAAGGCUCACCAAGCCAACGAUCUGUAGCUGGUCUGAGAGGACGACCAGCCACACUGGAACUGAGACACGGUCCAGACUCCUACGGGAGGCAGCAGUGGGGAAUUUUGGACAAUGGGCGCAAGCCUGAUCCAGCCAUUCCGCGUGCAGGAUGAAGG
rnacentral:rRNA from 1 species